UGCAUCUUCCUCCUGUUUGGUGCGGGGAGGCAGCAUGCCCUCUCCAUAUGGCGCUUGGCAGAACCGUCACCAUGUGGCCCUGGGAGCUAUGGAAACCCUGCGUCUACAGCCGCCCUGGGAGUCACCAAGCCAACCCGCCCCUGGAGAGCCAGGCCCUCGGUGCACCUGGGAGCUGCAAAGUGUGGUCUGUGGGUCCACCUGACCCUUUUCCACCGUCUUUCCUCGGGCGACGCCUUUGCUGUGCGCUCGCAGCGGAUGGGGAGAGAUGUGCCAAGUGCAAAGCCUGGGCGGAGAGCUGGCCUGAAGCCAGGGCAGCAGCAGGAUGGCCCCAGGAGGCCGAGCUGGUUUCCGCCUCCCGGGAUGGAGGAAGCCGCCGGCCUGGUCCCUGAGGAGACACUUGUGGACGAAGCCCCCCCCGUGGACGAUGGUAACUGAUAGAGGCCUUGUCACCAAUCACACGUUUCAUUCAACAGCAGAGAAGGCAAAUGAUGUGCUUCCUAGUUGCCCUUUAGUCGCCUUUUGUCAGAGAGGCUGCAUCUUGGAAACCCCUGUUUUUUCUCAGGAAGGUAGCGUCUCUUAUCCUGCCUUUAGUGGGACGAGACGUUGCAGCCGAGACGUCUGAGAGUGACAAGUCUGAGGCCACUUUUGUUUUCUGUUCCUGGAAGCUUUUAUUUUAUUUUAUUUUAUUUUAUUUAUUUAUUUAUUUAUUUGCCUUUUCUAGGGCCGCUCCCGUGGCACAUGGAGGUUCCCAGGCUAGGGGUCGAAUCGGAGCUGUAGCUGCCGUCCUACACCACAGCCACAGUCACAGCAACACAGGAUCCGAGCCAUGUCUGUGACCUACAGCACAGCGCACGGCAACACCGGAUCCUUAACCCACUGAGCAAGGGGCAGAGACCGAACCUGCAACCUCAUGGUUCCUAGUUGGAUUCGUUAACCACUGAGGCACGACAGGAACUCCAAUCUUUUCCUGGAAGCUUUUAGAUGUUAAAAAAAAAAAAAACAACAACAACAGAUGAUCUGCCAUUUCUGAGAUCUGCCCUGAUUUGGGCCGGAGCUGGACGCCAGGCAGGACACCAGGCAGGACACCAGGCAGGACACCAGGCUGGACACCAGGCGGGACCCCAGGCAGGAUAGUCUGACCUGGAAACGCCUCCUCGCCCCCCGCCCCACCCCAGGUGUUCUGCUGAGUCAGCCCCACGUGUCUUCUGAUGGUGGGUUGACUCCUAGAAUUUUGCUUCAGUCAUCCCACUGAGGUUUAAUGACGGAGCGAGCAGCCCAAGCCGUGGUGUUUGCCGUGUUUUCCUGCAUGUCUGCAGUGAGUUCUAGGACAGUAAUUCCCCGACUGUUUUGCCAGGGAACACCUCCUUUUUUUUUUUUUUUUUUUUUUUUUUUUUUUUUGGCCAUUCCUGUGACAUGCAAAAGUUCCCCGGCCAGCCAUCAAGCCCACAUCAUAGCAGUGACCUGAGCUACAGCAGUGACAGCACCAGACCCUUCACCUGCUGGGACACCAGGGAGCUCCCCCCUUACAUGCCCAAAAAGUACUGACCCAAAGGGCUUUGGUGCUUAUAUCUUUCAGUGUUGACCAUAUUAAAGCGAAAGCUGGAUCUCUCGUCGUGGUGCAGUGGAACAGAAUCCAACUAGUUUCCAUGAGGAUGCAGGUUCAAUCUCUGCCCUCACUCAGUGGGUUAAGGAUCCGGCGUUGCCAUGAGCUGUGGUGUAGGUUGCAGAUGCAGCUCAGAUCCCAUGUUGCUGUGGCUGUGGGGUAGAUCGGCGGCUACAGCCCAGAUUUGACCCCUAGCCUGGGAACUUCCAUAUGCCAAGGGUGUAGCCCCAAAAAGCAAAAAAUAAAAAAAUAAAACUAAAGCUAAGGAGUUCCCA
rnacentral:lncRNA from 1 species